GUGGGGAAUAUUGGACAAUGGGCGCAAGCCUGAUCCAGCCAUGCCGCGUGCAGGAAGACGCAUCUAUGGUGUGUAAACUGCUUUUGUACGGGAAGAAACACUCCCUCGUGAGGGAGCUUGACGGUACCGUAAGAAUAAGGAUCGGCUAACUCCGUGCCAGCAGCCGCGGUAAUACGGAGGAUCCAAGCGUUAUCCGGAAUCAUUGGGUUUAAAGGGUCCGUAGGCGGUUUAAUAAGUCAGUGGUGAAAGCCCAUCGCUCAACGAUGGAACGGCCAUUGAUACUGUUAGACUUGAAUUACAAGGAAGUAACUAGAAUAUGUAGUGUAGCGGUGAAAUGCUUAGAUAUUACAUGGAAUACCAAUUGCGAAGGCAGGUUACUACUUGUGGAUUGACGCUGAUGGACGAAAGCGUGGGGAGCGAACAGGAUUAGAAACCCCAGUAGUCC
rnacentral:rRNA from 1 species